UGAGGAAUAUUGGGCAAUGGACGGAAGUCUGACCCAGCAACGCCGCGUGGAGGAUGAAGGUUUUUGGAUUGUAAACUCCUUUUGUGGGGGAAAAGCAAGGAUGGUACCCCAAGAAUAAGUCACGGCUAACUACGUGCCAGCAGCCGCGGUAAUACGUAGGUGACAAGCGUUAUCCGGAAUUAUUGGGCGUAAAGCGCACGCAGGCGGCUGUUCAAGUCUGACGUGAAAUCUCCUGGCUUAACUGGGAGCGGUCGUUGGAAACUGAAGAGCUUGAGGCGCGGAGAGGGGUGUGGAAUUCCCGGUGUAGUGGUGGAAUGCGUAGAGAUCGGGAGGAACAUCAGUGGUGAAAACGGCACCCUGGCCGUAGCCUGACGCUCAGGUGCGAAAGCGUGGGGAGCGA
rnacentral:rRNA from 1 species